GCCCCUAUAGCUCAGUGGCAGAGCUCCCGACUCUUAAUCGGGAUGUCGCAGGUUCGAUCCCUGCUGGGGGCA
rnacentral:tRNA from 6 species